rnacentral:sRNA from 1 species
GCUGGGCGUGGUGGCGCAUGCCUGUAAUACCAGCAGCUCGGGAGGCUGAGGCAGGAGGAUUGCAAGUUCAAAGCCAGCCUCAGCAAAAGCCAGGUACUAAGCAUCUCAGGGAGAUCCUGUCUCUA